rnacentral:tRNA from 1 species
CAUUGAGAAGCUAUAAGCGCUAGCCUUUUAAGCUAGAGAUGGGAAAACCCCUUCCCCUCAAUGA